CCUACGGGAGGCAGCAGUGGGGAAUAUUGGGCAAUGGGCGCAAGCCUGACCCAGCAACGCCGCGUGAAGGAAGAAGGCUUGCGGGUUGUAAACUUCUUUUGUCAGGGACGAAGCAAGUGACGGUACCUGACGAAUAAGCCGCGGCUAACUACGUGCCAGUAGCCGCGGUCAUCCGUAGGUGGCAAGUGUUAUCCGGAUUUACUGGGUGUAAAGGGCGUGUAGGCGGGACUGCAAGUCAGAUGUGAAAACCACGGGCUCAACCUGUGGCCUGCAUUUGAAACUGUAGUUCUUGAGUACUGGAGAGGCAGACGGAAUUCCUAGUGUAGCGGUGAAAUGCGUAGAUAUUAGGAGGAACACCAGGGGCGAAGGCGGUCUGCUGGACAGCAACUGACGCUGAGGCGCGAAAGCGUGGGGAGCAAACAGGAUUAGAUACCCGGGUAGUC
rnacentral:rRNA from 1 species